UACGUAGGGGGCUAGCGUUGUCCGGAAUCAUUGGGUGUAAAGAGCGUGUAGGCGGUCCGGUAAGUCCGCUGUGAAAGUCGGGGGCUCAACCCUCGAAUGCCGGUGGAUACUGUCGGGCUAGAGUGCGGAAGAGGCGAGUGGAAUUCCUGGUGUAGCGGUGAAAUGCGCAGAUAUCAGGAGGAACACCUAUUGCGAAGGCAGCUCGCUGGGACGUAACUGACGCUGAGACGCGAAAGCGUGGGGAGCGAACAGG
rnacentral:rRNA from 1 species